rnacentral:rRNA from 1 species
UUCGUGUGAACAGUGGUUGAUCACGAGUUAGUCGGUCCUAAGUUCAAGGCUAAAGCUGAAAAUUUUCAAGUAAAAUGAAAACUGAAUAAAAAUAACUAAACAAAAUGAAAAAGAAACAUUAUAUACUGAAUAAUUUUGAACGAAAGGGAAUACGGUUCCAAUUCCGUAACCUGUUGAGUAUCCGUUUGUUAUUAAAUAUGGGCCUCGUGCUCAUCCUGGCAACAGGAACGACCAUAAAGAAGCCGUCGAGAGAUAUCGGAAGAGUUUUCUUUUCUGUUUUAUAGCCGUACUACCAUGGAAGUCUUUCGCAGAGAGAUAUGGUAGAUGGGCUAGAAGAGCAUGACAUAUACUGUUGUGUCGAUAUUUUCUCCUCGGACCUUGAAAAUUUAUGGUGGGGAUACGCAAACUUCUCAACAGGCCGUACCAAUAUCCGCAGCUGGUCUCCAAGGUGAAGAGUCUCUAGUCGAUAGAAUA